AGUAGCAGCGAGUAGGAGGGCCCAGGGCCGGGAGUUUCCAGAAGGCUGUGUCUAGCACCUGUGUUUUUCCUCCACAGGCUAUCACGCCUGUAUUUGUCAGAUUCUCUUUUUCAAACCACUGCUAAUCCACUCUCCCUCCCUCAUCAGCCCAUUUGAGAAGGGCCGGGAUGGUGGUUGUAAUGUUCAUGUUGCCUACAGUCAAUGUGGAGUGGCCAAGGCAUUCGUUCUCUGAUAGAUGUGACAACUUUAUCUUCCAGAUGAAUUUCGGCAUGAAGUUUUCAAGUCUUACAAUGGACGCCGCUGAGUAUUUAGUAUCGCCGACCCGCGUGAUAUUUGGACGCCUUUACCUCAUUACAAGUGACUGCAAUAGCUCUCCAAUUUUUCCUGCUUCUCUUUUUUCCCUUUGAUAAUUUUGAGGCCUUUUUUGCUUUAAGCGAAUCACUUUGAGGAUGGGUAAAUCAUCCACUGUUUAUUAUCUUUCGUUACAAACGUAGGGGUGGAACUCAGCCACUAUAUUAUCCAACUGUUUCAUUAAGCAUAUAGGAAUGCAAUUAUUUUUGCGGAAAUAAAUCUUAGUUUACUCUCUUCUGGGGCCGACGUAUUUAGAGCAAGCAUGUUGUGACAUGGGCUAGAAGGUAGUUUCUAGUCUUCAUUCUGUCCCUUUAUGACUUUUGGCAAGCCACUUAACGACUGUAAGACUUAGUUCCUUAUUUGCAAAUUGGAUGGCAAUCCGAGGAUGGCAAUCCGUGUCCUUUACCUGGAUACAUAGACUUGGGUUGGAGAAUUAUGCACAUAGACCCACGUCCACAACAAAGUUUCUGUGCCUGAGAUGCCUGGUGUGUGUGUGUGUGUGUUUUCUCUUCCAUAAUUGAUGCCUAGGGAACAAGCAUAGGGAUUCCCUACUACUGAUGGAUUAUGGAGCCCGACCCCCUUGCUUAUGAAUAUACAUACACUCAUCUUUUCCUAGGAUGUGCAUUAUUGGACCUUGUGUAUUUGCCUCCUGCAAAGGUCUUGCCAAUGGCUGCCUGUGUUUUUGCCUUCGGCAUCAAGACCAGAACCAUUCAACAUGAACUCCCAACAUAAAAAUUCUACCUGCCCUUUAUGAGCGUUCGUGGUUUGGCCCAUGCCUGCCUCUCCAGCCUCAUUUCUCCCAGGCCUCUCUGAGCUCCUGCCCCCUGCCCCACUGUGGGCAUUUUAGAUCUGCCACGUUUCUUCUCUGCACUUAGACAUUUCUCCUGAAGUUCCUUCUGCCUAGAGCACCAUUGCCCUCCCUCUCCUCACACCCUUUUCAACUAGGUAAUUCCUACUCAUCUUUCAGGUUCCACCUUCAUUGUUCUUAGAGAAGCCCUAUACCUACAUUACAUUGGGGCUUAAAGCUCUCCAAGUGCCAUGAACUGUGCCUUUAAGAUACGUAACACAGAGAGGUAUUAUAGAGUUGCUUGUAAUCUCCAUGAGGCAGGGGCUGUCCUUCUGUUCACUAUUAUACUCCUCAAGUCCAGCACACGAUAGGCACCCAAUAAGUAUUUGUUGAAUGACCGAAUGAGUGAAUGAAUGAAUGAAUGAAUGAGUGGGUUUAGUAUUUGGAACUUGUGUUUGUGCCUCUAGAGAGGAUGCCUCUGGACCUGAGGUUAUCCCGAUUCCGAAUGAACAUGCUUUGGAAAGCUCUAGAGUCGGAAGCAGCCAUGGUCCCUGCUUGUGGAGCAAAGAGUCUGUUAGCCAUUGGCUGCAGAAAAGACUCUGAGCCUUGUCUUUUCCAGGACAGGCCCCCAGCAGAGCCAUACGGAGUGGCCAGUUUGCCUUCUGGCCCAUUAGUGUCUUUGGGUUCCCACCCCUACAAUGUGCCCCGGACCCUCAGAUCUUCUUCCAUAUCUUGGCAGCCUCCUAUGCCUGCAUUUCUGUUCUGUUCUGUCUCCAGAAACCUUUUCCAUCCCUGGCUGUGGGGCCUCAGGGGACCUUAUGCUCUCUGAGCUCCUCUUUAAGGUGUCUGUAUCCUUCCCUGGACUGUGAAUUCUGCCCUGCUCUGGGUCUUGGCUCCAACGGUUGCCUUCAACUGCCGUCAGAAUGUUCUAUCCUUAAAAUUCUCAGGGGUUGGUGCCUGCCCUCUGCAGCUAGGUGGACUCCAAGGCUUUGAGCCCAAAGUCCAGGCUUUCACCUUGACGGUUGGCUCAGCCUUCAGUAACCACACAGCCAUGCAUGGCGAUUCGAUUUUCUAACCAAAUUCUUACUCAACUUUUUCAAGGCAGUCAUGGCUGCCUGCCUGAGCCCUCUGGCGUGGUUUCACAACCUCACUGGACUCUCCCUGCCUUAGCUGAAAAGAACCCUCUCGUGGGAACUUUGGCAGACCCAGCUGAGGGAAAUUGGGGGCCAAAGCACUUCCCGUCGCCUCACAUGGUCCAGCCCCUGCAAGGCAACUCUGACCCCAGGCUGCAGCAGCCCUUGGUUGCAACUGUCCCAAAGCAGCGUCUACUCCUAAGACUGGAACCACAUCGGCCUCUCUAUCCCAGGGCUGGGGCCACACCUUGAGGAGGAGGGAAGGCCAUGUUCAUGGCUCAAAGAGACAGUGCAAAGGUGUCAUUUAGAGUGGCUUCCCCUUGGUCACAAACGUGUUUAUCUUUAAGAAAUAUGAGCUUGUCUUCCCUACCCCUUAAAUCCUUCAGGCUUGGCCGUCUUUCUUCUGAGGUUCUAUCUCAGCUGUGCAAGUUGGGGCUUCCUCUCUUAUUUGAUUGUGUCUUUAAUAAAACCCUGGGCUGAAGGCCCAUCUGAUCUGAGUUGGCUUUGGGCCCUGGGUCUUAGUCUGGCCACUCUUGGUGCUCCUGGGACAGGGCAUAGUGUGCUCCUCUCUCAUUCAUGCAUUCAUUCAUCCAUUCGUUCAUUUGAUAUCUGUUGAACUCCUGUGUGCCAGGCACUGGCUAGGUCCUGGGGAUACCAAAAGUGUCAGGCAAAUAGAAACGGGUGCUGAUCGUUAGAGGACACCUUGUCUAACGAAGGGGGCUCUUGGAUGUGGGGAGGUAUGUGAGUGAGCCAUGCAAGCUGGGGAUAAAAGUCAAGAGGCUGUGAGAACUUGUAGAUCGGGUUUGAAAUUUUCGUGUUUUGUCCUAGAAGCCUCAGGGAACCAUGGAAAGAUUUUAAGCAGCGGAGAGAAAUGGUCACAUUUGGGUUUUUGAAAAAAGACCCUAGCUGCUGUGUGGUUUUUGGGAAAAGACCCCAGCUUCUAACACCAGUUAGAAGGGGGAGGGGAGUGGGGAUCGGUCAGGGAACCCAUCAGGCAAUGCCAGUGUCUAGGAUUGGAGGGGCUUGGGGAGAAGGGGUUGAGGACGUAACCCACGUGGAGGAGGAUGGCAGACCGCGGGUGUAGAUUGCAGAGGCAGUUGACCAACACUGAAGGCAGACACUGGAGCAGGGACACAGCUGCCAGGCGCGGAGCGUAUUGAGUUGAGGUGCCUUUGAAAGGAGGCGAUAUUCAGGUCAAGAGCUCAUGGGAGAGGUGUGGCCUAUAGAUAGCCAUUGGUGAAUUAUUUGCCAUAGGUAGUUACUCCAUAGGAAUGGUGGAACUUGCCAGGGAGACGGACUAGAAAAGCGAGGGUGCCUUGGGGUCAGGGAGGUGCAUCUGUCCAAGGAGGUUGAGGGAGAAUGGCCAGAGAAGUAGGAGGGAUGCCAGGGAGUGGUAGGGUCACAAUAGCCUUGAAGGAGUGUCUCUGUGUUUCUCCACGACCGUUUGCCUUAAUCACAAACGCAUCUCCUUCAUCCCGCAUGUUAGAUGUAGGGAGCAGGGGGCAAACUAGUCUGGUGCUAAUGCCCUCUGGAAAGGGCAUGUGGGCCCUCAGCCUGGGCAGGAGGGCCAAGGAGGAUUCUGGAAAACUCCAUGAGAUUAGGUGGCAACGGCAGGCACAUCAGAGAGUUGGGGACAGGCAUGGAGAAGCUUGUGGCAGUUCAAGGCUGGGUGGGAGAAUUUUCUCUGUCUACAGGUCCAUGGACUGUGAGUUCAGGGACAUUAUAAAGAAAGAGAACAAGGAGACCAAGGGACAGGAGAUGCGGGGUCUCUUUGGAGGUUGUGGGGACUAACAAGCUCGAUUUGGGAGAGGUAGUGAGAGGGAAGAGCAAGGCCAGUUCUGACCACUGGCUUCCAAGAAGGCCAGCUUCCAUGGCCUGUUGGGUCUUGAGAUAGAAGCUAUUUCCCGCCCCUUGCCAUAUGGGCAUGUUUCUUGGAGAAGCAAGGAGUAAGAGUUUGUCAAGGUAAGAGAACAAUCAGAGGGGAGAAGAAGAUCACAUAAGGGAAACCAGUGAGGAUCUGAAAGGGAACAGGCCAGUACUCCAGGACUGUUGUUCCAAAUUUAUUCAGGCACCGGGAACAUUUCUAAAGCCCCUCUAGCCUUUGUUAGAGCUGCUCAAAGCAUAUGGGGCAUGCCUAGCGCCCAGAGAAAAGGGGCAAUGGAGAGGCAGCCUGAAAGAAGCAGGGAGGGUCAGCGUGGGCCACAGGUUAAGACGACUUCAGCAGAUAGAGGCAACCAUCAGAUCCUCUCCACCACUCUCUGGGCCAGCAUACCACAGCUAGCACGGACAGGCUCCUUCACUCCUCACCAAAGCACUGGGUCUGGCUGCCAUCUUGUGUCUGGCUAUUUCAGACAGCCCCCAAAUGGAGUCCCUGACAGUAAAGCCUUACCACAGAAAGAGCAGUCCUGCCAAAGUGCAGGCUUAAGUCCAUGGACAGGGAAGAAAGAGUACUUUCAGACCCCCUUUGGAGUGUGGCUUCCUCAUGACUUCCAAGGCAAGACAUACAUUGGGACAAAGAAAUAUGUUUUCAGGGGGAAACAGGAGACUCAGUGUGGGUACCAGAGAUGGCCACCAUGACCCUGAAGGGAAAAUUUUGGAGUUGUUCUCCCAAGGAUGGGGGGCAGGGGGCAGGCAAUGCUUGCACUUCCAGCCCUCAAUUUCCCCACUUGUAGAAUGGAGGGUAAUGGAGGAGUCUACCUGAGAGAAAUGUUGAGGAUUUUACGAGUUAAUUUUUAUAUAGAAUACUUAGAACAGCCAGACACAUCACAAAUGAUAGUAAAUACUAUCACGAUUUCAUGAGACAUUGUCCAUUUACAUGAAAUUCUUGGACUUUGUGGGCACAUACCACAUUUCCUACCGAUGUGACUCUACACUGCUCGAAAAGUAGGCAUUCCAGUUUAAUGAUUUAAUAGUAAUGAGGAGACUCAAUUCCAGAAUUAAAUAUUGGGAUCAUUUUGAAGAAAUUUUCCACGAAUGCUUAUUAGAGUGGAAAGAAUACAGAGUCAGGUGUCAGAAGACCACAGAUAUUUGUUCUAGCAUCUUCCAUAUGCUAGACUUCAACGGCCACUGUGAUAGAAAUGGUACUUGCAUUAACAGAGCUGAUGACUCAGUUGGGGAGACAAAAGUUUUAAAAAAGUUACAAAUUAGGAUUAGUGCCACCAAGGGGAAAAUCCCCAAGGGGAAGAAUAACAGAGAAGGCAUCUAACUUUAGGUCAUGAAGAUCUUCUCUGAGAAGUUGACAUGAAGCCAACUUUUGGCCACUCAAAAGUGGUUAUGGAGGUAUCUGGGAGUUGGGGGGGGGGGUAUUCUGGGUUAGAAAAUGAUUUCCUUUCCCAAUCUUAGGCAAUCCUGUGAGCACCAAUUUCUACAUUUGUAAAAUGAAGAUAAGCCUACCUAUCCAACCGACCACAACAGAGCUGAGCCACCUGUCAGCAGUGCGUGGGCAGACUCCCGACUCCACAAGAAUGGAAGGAACUCAAGGCGUCUCAUGGAAGGAAGACCUCACAUUGCCAGGUUGUCAGUCCUCCCCGAAUGGAUCUCUGCCUUUGACCCAAUUCCGAUGAAAAUCGCAGUGAGAGCUUUGUGCACUUGGAAUGGUAUUUCUAAUACGUACUUGGAAGACUUCAUUUUGGAGAAACAAAAACUCCCGUGUGCGUGCGCGCACACACACUCUAAGAUUAGCAAGUAAAAGCUUGCGUCGUUAGAUUCUGAAACGCACUUUAAAUUUGAAAUCUUUUGAACGGUAAGAAGCUAGUGGCCAAAGAGGCCAACGGUAAAGAAUACAAAGCCCAGAUGUGGGUUUAUUUUUGCCUUAUCUGUCAUUUCCAUUUAGGACUGUGAGUACAAUAGAUGCGUCGCUGUUUGGGGCAAAGCAAGGUAAGUGCCCCCCAUUCAUUGCCAUUGUGACACAAAGACCAGGGUGAGGGCACCACCAGCCAAGAGCGCCAUCGUUUCACAUCAUGUCAUGUUGUGUUCAGCGGCUUAGCGAUCUUCCUUUUGGGUCUUUACUACUUUUUAUAGCUGGAAGCCUGAGACCUGUGAGUUCUGUGUUUGCCGACUCGGUGUUCUUGGUUUUCUUUAAAGGUGUGAAGACAAAGGCGAAGGAGGGCAGCGUGAGGCCUCGAACAUCCCGCAGAGCCGGGGCAAGCGAAUGCCGUGUCUCCACAUUCACUCGCAGCUUCUGAAAAUGGUUUUCCUGUUUUCUGAAAUUCAUCUGCGCUCUCUCUACCCCCGCCCCCCACCAGCCUGGCCACCCUGUAGAUUAUAAACGAAGGCCCGUAUCCUUCAGUAUAUUGAGUCGGUGAUUUCACUGAAUGAACGUGGCAUUCCAAGUCAGCGAGUAAGUGUACGCCGGAGGACGUGCAGGUGCAUGCCAUGUUGCUAUCUGGGCGACAACAUUCCGGGAAGUGGGUGUCGCAAAUGAAAAGGAACAACAGAAAAAAAUAUGUUUACAAAUGUGAGCUCUGAAGAAAGGAGACUUUGGUAGCCCGUGGAGGCCACUGUGUUCCAGGACCUCAGAUGGCCUUCAGCGUGAAGUAAGCCUUAACUGAAGAGCUUCACUUCUGCCCAGCCAGGACACUUUCAGCUUGUCUCUCAGUCUCCGGGGAAGUAAUCUUGUUUAAUGUCCUGUAUUUUUCUCUCACAGCCUCUUGUCCAUUGGGUGACAGGAAAAACACCAACUUGGGUUUUGCGUUAUUUACUUUCUAAGAUCCUAAUUAAACUCCAUCUGGUGCUGUUUAUGGAAGGGAAGAGGCCUCUGAUAAGCACAGCUGGGGAGAAGAUUUCCCAGGGCUGCUGUCCCGUGAUUUUGCUCACUUGCUCCCAGCACAGAGGCCCCUCAGUGGAAGGAAACCCGAAGACCAGAUAUCUGUUCAGAAUUUCAUCAAGUCCCCGGAUUUGAGUGGAGAUAGAUGCAUGACAUGGUAUGGAACUGGAGACCCCAGAAGAUUCUGGAGAGUCUAGAACUCACUGCCUUUAAAGGCCCACCUGUCUUUCCCUUUCAACUCCAUGCCAAUGCUCAUUCAUGGCCCAACUGAAGAGACAAAAGGAAAAUUAAGCUACUUGUGAUCAGAAUGUUGGGUCUUUAGAUUGGGGAGGGACCAGAGAAGACAUUCCACCCAAUAUCCUAUUUUUCAUAGACUGAUCUAAAGUCUAUUUACCCCCAUGACACGCUUGUGUGUGAUCAACACUGGCCUGCCGAUAAAGUGUCAGAAAUUAUUGUAAAGGACAAUAGUUUCCUUCCUCGAUGGCCAGGGAUAUGUGGGGCUAGGAUCAGAACUCUGGGUCUUUAAAAACUAUCCUAUUUUUUUUAAACAUAUAAACUGGAUAAAAGUUAUAAAUAAACCAGAGUUCUUAUUU